GGGGUUGUGGCUCAGCGGUAGAGCACUCGCCUCACACAUGGGAGCCCUGGGUUCCAUCCUCAGCACCACA
rnacentral:tRNA from 1 species